UACGUAGGGGGCAAGCGUUGUCCGGAAUUAUUGGGCGUAAAGAGCGCGUAGGCGGUCCGAUAAGUCGGCUGUGAAAGUCCAGGGCUCAACCCUGGAAAGCCGGCCGAUACUGUCGGACUAGAGUCCGGAAGAGGCAAGUGGAAUUCCCGGUGUAGCGGUGAAAUGCGCAGAUAUCGUAAGGAAGACCAGUGGCGAAGGCGAGUCUCUGGACAGUUACUGACGCUGAGGCACGAAGGCCAGGGGAGCAAACGGG
rnacentral:rRNA from 1 species